GCUAGUAAUGGCAGGUCAGCAUACUGCCGUGAAUACGUUCCCGGGCCUUGUACACACCGCCCGUCACACCAUGAGAGUUGGGGAUACCCGAAGCCUGUGAGCCAACUGUAAAGAGGCAGCAGUCGAAGGUAGAAUCAAUGAUUGGGGUGAAGUCGUAACAAGGUACC
rnacentral:rRNA from 1 species